rnacentral:rRNA from 1 species
UACGAAGGGGGCGAGCGUUGUCCGGAUUUACUGGGCGUAAAGAGCGCGCAGGCGGUCGUUCAAGUCGAGUGUGAAAGCCCCCGGCUCAACUGGGGAGGGUCACUCGAUACUGAUCGACUUGAAGGCAGGAGAGGGAAGCGGAAUUCCCGGUGUAGUGGUGAAAUGCGUAGAUAUCGGGAGGAACACCGGUGGCGAAGGCGGCGACCUGGGUCGAGACUGACGCUGAGGCGCGAAAGCGUGGGGAGCAAACAGG